rnacentral:pre_miRNA from 1 species
CAUACUUCAUUGAAUGGAGAUACGGAAUGAAGCUUAUCAUUGCCCGAAAUAUGCUUCAUAAUCCGUAUGUAAUUUCGGGUAGUCUA